AUGGCCCCGGCAUGACCGUGAGAGACUGAAUGUGGGUGAUAAGUCAUGGACAGUCGCUGUUUCUGAUUGUCUGGUGCAGCGGCAAAAUAAUGUGAAUUCUGAAUUAUCCAGAACAAAUUCAGCAGUUGCUGUGUGGAGAACAACUCUUUCUGCAUAUUGAGACUCAGUCACUAUAUUAAGAGAUUCAGGAAGUUUUGAUAAUACCAUAAAGAUUGCAUACAACUCUGAGUUCUGCACUGAAGCACAUGGGCUUUGAAUUACAAAUUCUUUCUUUCUUCCUUUCUUUCUUCCUUUCCUUCUUUCUUUCUUUCUUUUUCUACUGAAUUAUUAUCAGCCAUUCCCAGCUUUUUCAUCCAGGACUGUAGGGGCUUCAGGAAAUAGUGUUCCUUUUAUAAUGCAUUGGACAAUCCAAUUAGUACUUUUUGUAAACUGAAGUUGUUUUCUUUUAGGACAUUUGUAAGUCUGGAGAGAUCGUUUGGAGGUUAAGAGCACUGACUGUUCUUCCAGAGGUCCUGAAUUCAAAUCCCAGCAACCACAUGGUGACUCACAACCAUCUGUAUGUAACAGGAUCCCAUACCCUGUUCUGACAGCUACAGUGUACUUACAUAUAAUUAAAGAACAUGUGUUAAUUGCUCCCAAAUAGUUGUUACAAACUCUAGGCCAGUCUACAUUGAUUACCCAUAAUGAAGGAAUCUCAGUAUUAGUAUACGGUCUAUAAUUUUGAUGGGUCUAUUCCUACAAUUGUCAUAAUCAUACUUUUAUAAUUAAAUCAGAAUCUUUUUGUUAUAAGGCUUUUAGUUCUUUCCUUUUAGUGUGUUGUAAGAAGCUUAAUUCUAAAAUGUUAUUCUCUUUGCACAAUGAGACCCGUGGGAGAAUGAGUUAAAGACAAAAGAACCGGAGGUGGGGCUCCGCGGGGGCCGCAGCCCCCAAACCUUGUCAAGUUGCAGGGAGCUGCACAGCACUGGGCAAGGCCGAGGGAGGAACCGCCCCUUGACGCCUGCUGCCAAGUCCUGGGCUGGGCAGGACCAGCACCAUUGAGGAUGCACAACGAGUUCACAGGACCUAUCCAUGUAACUGGGCCCAGUUGAACAGACACAGUAAAGGAAUCACCCAUUCUGGACCGUGGCAGUCUGUUGUAGAAGAGGACGCAGGGGUCAGGGAGAAAACACUACUGCUCCACCCCUGACACCUCAGCCCACCCUCUCCAUGCCUCUCUCUGCGUCACCACCACUCCUAAACCUAGUCCUGAUUUAUCAGAGUUGUUUGUUUGUUUUUCUUUUUUU
rnacentral:sRNA from 1 species